rnacentral:rRNA from 1 species
CGUGUAGGCGUCCUGGCAAGUCAGAUGUGGAAGCCUUGGGCUUAACCCAAGAAGUGCAUUUGAAACUGCCGGGAUUGAGUCGUGCAAGGGAGGGCGGAAUUCCUGGUGUAGCGGUGAAAUGCGUAGAUAUCAGGAGGAAGGCCGGUGGUGAAGACGGCCCUCUGGGCAAUGACUGACGCUGAGGCGCGAAAGCGUGGGGAGCAAACA